rnacentral:rRNA from 1 species
UACAGAGGUUGCAAGUGUUGUUCGGAAUCAUUGGGCGUAAAGGGCGCGUAGGCGGUUUGAUAAGUCAGAUGUGAAAUCCCUGGGCUUAACUCAGGAACUGCAUUUGAUACUGCCAAACUAGAGUGCGAUAGAGGAAGGUGGAAUUUCCGGUGUAGAGGUGAAAUUCGUAGAUAUCGGGAGGAACACCAGUGGCGAAGGCGGCCUUCUGGGUCGACACUGACGCUGAUGCGCGAAAGCGUGGGUAGCAAACAGG